UCUCGAUUCGUCUAGUGGUUAGGAUACCUGCUUGUCAUCUUUCCUACAGUGUUGAUGAUGUAUCUAGGAUUGAGUAGCGCAGGUGGCCGGGGUUCAAUUCCCCGAUCGAGAG